AAAUGACUGGUAAGUCAGCAUUGAGUCAAGAGAGGUUCUGUCUGGUCUGCACGGCGUUCUUUUUUUAAAAAUGCACAGUGUUUGCCAACAUUUAAAGAUCAGGAGAUUCGACAUAAAAUCCUGGCUUCUUCUCUUUAAAAAGCAGACUAUCUGGCAGUAACAGGCCUGAACUCCCUGAGGCUGGAGAGAGGAGCUGGGUUCAGAGAACAGAAACUCCCUGAGGACAGACCUUCACCUUGUUCAAUCCUGUGGCUUCAGCACCAAGAACAGUGCAGGGCACGUGGGAGACAUAGAAGGUACUGGAUACGUGGGUGAAUGAAUGCCUUCUUUAAAUAAGACAUGCACUCUCCUGGGGUCCCCACCCAGAC